GCCUGGCCGGCUCAGUGGGAAGAGCACGAGACUCUUGAUCUUGGGGUUGUGAGUUCGAGCCCCAGGUUGGGUG
rnacentral:tRNA from 1 species